rnacentral:rRNA from 1 species
UACAGAGGGGGCGAGCGUUGUUCGGAAUUACUGGGCGUAAAGGGCGCGUAGGCGGCCCGCUAAGUCGAACGUGAAAUCCCCAGGCUCAACCUGGGAACUGCGUCCGAUACUGGCAGGCUUGAAUCCGGGAGAGGGAUGUGGAAUUCCAGGUGUAGCGGUGAAAUGCGUAGAUAUCAGGAGGAACACCGGCGGUGUAGACGGCUUUCUGGACCGUAGCUGACGCUGAGACACGAAAGCGUGGGUAGCAAACAGG